UUGCUCCCUGAUGUUAGCGGCGGACGGGUGAGUAACACGUGGGUAACCUGCCUGUAAGACUGGGAUAACUCCGGGAAACCGGGGCUAAUACCGGAUGGUUGUUUGAACCGCAUGGUUCAGACAUAAAAGGUGGCUUCGGCUACCACUUACAGAUGGACCCGCGGCGCAUUAGCUAGUUGGUGAGGUAACGGCUCACCAAGGCGACGAUGCGUAGCCGACCUGAGAGGGUGAUCGGCCACACUGGGACUGAGACACGGCCCAGACUCCUACGGGAGGCAGCAGUAGGGAAUCUUCCGCAAUGGACGAAAGUCUGACGGAGCAACGCCGCGUGAGUGAUGAAGGUUUUCGGAUCGUAAAGCUCUGUUGUUAGGGAAGAACAAGUGCCGUUCAAAUAGGGCGGCACCUUGACGGUACCUAACCAGAAAGCCACGGCUAACUACGUGCCAGCAGCCGCGGUAAUACGUAGGUGGCAAGCGUUGUCCGGAAUUAUUGGGCGUAAAGGGCUCGCAGGCGGUUUCUUAAGUCUGAUGUGAAAGCCCCCGGCUCAACCGGGGAGGGUCAUUGGAAACUGGGGAACUUGAGUGCAGAAGAGGAGAGUGGAAUUCCACGUGUAGCGGUGAAAUGCGUAGAGAUGUGGAGGAACACCAGUGGCGAAGGCGACUCUCUGGUCUGUAACUGACGCUGAGGAGCGAAAGCG
rnacentral:rRNA from 1 species